GACGAACGCUGGCGGCGCGCUUAACACAUGCAAGUCGAACGGAAAGGCCCUGCUUUUGUGGGGUGCUCGAGUGGCGAACGGGUGAGUAACCCGUGAGUAACCUGCCCUUGACUUUGGGAUAACUUCAGGAACCUGGGGCUAAUAACGGAUAGGAGCUCCUGCUGCAUGGUGGGGGUUGGAAAGUUUCGGCGGUUGGGGAUGGACUCGCGGCUUAUCAGCUUGUUGGUGGGGUAGUGGCUUACCAAGGCUUUGACGGGUAGCCGGCCUGAGAGGGUGACGGGCCACAGUGGGACUGAGAUACGGCCCAGACUCCUACGGGAGGUAGCAGUGGGAAAUAUUGAACAAUGGGCGGAAGCCUGAUGCAGCAACGCCGCGUUCGGGAUGACGGCCUUCGGGUUGUAAACCGCUUUCGCCUGUGACGAAGCGUGAGUGACGGUAAUGGGUAAAGAGGCACGGGCUAACUACGUG
rnacentral:rRNA from 1 species